GAAAUGCGAUACGUAGUGUGAAUUGCAGAAUUCAGUGAAUCAUCAAACCUUUGAACGCACCUUGCGCCUGAGGCUAUACCUCAGGCAUGCCUGUUUGAGUGUCGUUUAAAAAAAAUACUCACACAAACCCUCCAAAAAAAAGGGAAUGGGUGGACUUGAGAGUCAGGCCUGAAAACAAGGGCCUGUUUCUUGAAAUGCAGUGGAGAAAUGGGGUGCCAUCCUUUGUCGCCUUGUUUGAACACGGCUCCAAUUGGUGUCUUAGUGUGCCUAGCACAUUUCCAGCAUCAAUAAGGCUGAUGGACCAAGGCUGUAGGAGAGGCUAAGCCUGACCCACACUGGGGAGAGCCGAUUCUUUCAGCUCACAGAACCCUCCUUUUAAACCUGCGACCUCAAAUCAGGC
rnacentral:misc_RNA from 1 species